rnacentral:rRNA from 1 species
UACGUAGGGGGCAAGCGUUGUCCGGAAUCACUGGGCGUAAAGCGCGCGCAGGCGGUCAUCUACGUCUGGGGUGAAAGCCCGGAGCUCAACUCCGGGACUGCCUUGGAUACGGGAUGACUUGAGGAUCGGAGAGGCAAGGGGAAUUCCACGUGUAGCGGCGAAAUGCGUAGAGAUGUGGAGGAACACCUGUGGCGAAGGCGCCUUGCUGGCCGAUUUCUGACGCUGAGGCGCGAAAGCGUGGGGAGCAAACAGG